UGCACGUCGAACGCGAAAGUUCCCUUCGGGGAGUUUGCCGUGUGGCGCACGGGUGAGUAACACGUAGGUAAUCUACCUCUUGGAUUGGGAAUAACAACCGGAAACGGUUGCUAAUACCGAAUAAUGCAGCGGCACCUAAUGGUGACAGUUGCUAAAGCGGGGGAUCGCAAGACCUCGCGUCUAAAGAGGAGCCUGCGGCGGAUUAGCUAGUUGGUAAGGUAACGGCUUACCAAGGCGAUGAUCCGUAGCCGGCCUGAGAGGGCGGUCGGCCACACUGACACUGACAUACGGGUCAGACUCCUACGGGAGGCAGCAGUCGGGAAUUUUGGGCAAUGGGCGAAAGCCUGACCCAGCAACGCCGC
rnacentral:rRNA from 1 species